GACGAACGCUGGCGGCGUGCCUAAUACAUGCAAGUCGAGCGCAGGAAGCUCACGGAACUCUUCGGAGGGAAGUGAAGGGAAUGAGCGGCGGACGGGUGAGUAACACGUAAGGAACCUGCCCCAAGGAUUGGGAUAACUCCGAGAAAUCGGAGCUAAUACCGAAUAGUUCUUCAGACCGCAUGGUCUGAUGAUGAAAGGCGCUUCGGUGUCACCUUGGGAUGGCCUUGCGGUGCAUUAGCUAGUUGGUGGGGUAAUGGCCCACCAAGGCGACGAUGCAUAGCCGACCUGAGAGGGUGAUCGGCCAGACUGGGACGGAGACACGGCCCAGACUCCUACGGGAGGCAGCAGUAGGGAAUCUUCCACAAUGGACGAAAGUCUGAUGGAGCAACGCCGCGUGAGUGAUGAAGGUUUUCGGAUCGUAAAACUCUGUUGUAAGGGAAGAACAGGUAUGAGAGGUAAUGCUCAUGCUAUGACGGUACCUUACGAGGAAGCCACGGCUAACUACGUGCCAGCCGCCGCCGUAAAAC
rnacentral:rRNA from 1 species